GUGCUUGCUUUGGCAGCACAUAUACUAAAAUUGGAACACAUGGCCCCUGCGCAAGGAUGACAGGCAAAUUCGUAAAGCAUUCCAUAUUUUU
ensembl:snRNA U6 U6 spliceosomal RNA